AUACGGAGGAUGCGAGCGUUAUCCGGAUUUAUUGGGUUUAAAGGGUGCGUAGGCGGUUUGUCAAGUCAGCGGUGAAACGCAAGGGCUUAACCCUUGACCUGCCGUUGAAACUGAUUGACUAGAAUGCGGAUGCUGUGGGAGGAAUGUGUGGUGUAGCGGUGAAAUGCAUAGAUAUCACACAGAACACCGAUUGCGAAGGCAUCUCACAAAUCCGUGAUUGACGCUGAGGCACGAAAGUGUGGGGAUCAAACAGGAUUAGAUACCCUGGUAGUCCACACUGUAAACGAUGAUAACUCGCUGUCGGCGAUACACAGUCGGUGGCCAAGCGAAAGCGAUAAGUUAUCCACCUGGGGAGUACGACCGCAAGGUUGAAACUCAAAUGAAUUGACGGGG
rnacentral:rRNA from 1 species